UAAAAUAUUUUCUUGCCAUUAGAAAUCCUAAAAAAAAGCUUGUGAAGUGUCAUAUUAAAUAAAAAUAAUAAUGGGUGACUAAAGAAGAACAAAUCUGAAAGAGAGAGAAAGAGACACUAGACUUGCUAGACGGAAAUGUGCAAUGCGAUAUUUGUUCGCUUCUCUGAUUUGGAUAAAGAUAGAGUCGAGCCAUGAGACUCCAAAUAUACUCCCGAGUGUACAUGUGAAAUAAGAAAAGAAUAAGGAUUAGAAAACGAGCUAAAGAUUGGGAUAGAUCAAUGGAAGCACAUAAACACUCAAAUAUUGAAACAUAAACUAUUACGGCUAACGCUGAAUAUUGGAAUAGAUGCCCAAGUCAUACCUCUAAACAAUUGUAAGAAAUAAUCCUAAAAAUAUAAAAAUCUAGAACCAUACACAUGAAUCAGGAAACAAAACAAUAAUGAUAAUAAUAUCAAGACUCAUAUUUUCAUAAACAAUAUCUAAUUUAACUACUACAUCAAAUUCGGGAUAAGUCAACGAGACUUCUAACAAUUUUAAUUUAGAGGAAAAAAAAAGGUGCAUUUUGACCCUUACCUAUGAAAACAUACGUGAAUAAAACUAAACUUCUGAAGAGCUCAUGACCAAAAAAUAAAACCAGUGAUCACUUGGGACUAUUCAAAUUAACUGAAAACCUUAAGAAGCACUGUCAAUCCUAAACAUAUACACUCAUGUUUGUACAAGCCAAAUCCAACCUUUAAAAUGACAAUAUAGACUUUUUACAUUACUGUAAACGUGAGCGUUAGGGCAUUAGAUUAAAUUCUUUUUACAUCUAGGUGGACAACACACGUAUAUGGAAUUAUGUGAUCAUGUUAAUCAAAAGAAAAAGAAUAGAAAAAGAAAUAAGGAUUCUACAUCGUUCCUCACAUGCAAAACAUACUCUGUAGCAAGUCGGGACAUAACUUGUAUGAAUAGAAGUGUGAGCAUAGUGGCUCAAAUUAAUAAAAAGUUCAGUUUCAAAAAUCCCCAAUAAUUUGUGAAGAUGUCCUAAAGAGAGCUACCCUUCUCACGAUAAUGGUGGUGUUCCGGUCAACUUGCACGUCCAUGUCAAGAUACUUUAUAUUAAAUAUGAAAGAGAUAAUUGCAUAAUAGUUUCAAAUAUGAAGAAAGAAGAGUUCAGUUAAUGGGAAUAGUCCAAAAUGUCAGAGGAUUAUGGUUGGUUCUUUACAUAAAGCUUUAUGGUUUAUGGUUAGUAACUUUAAAAGUCAAACAUGGCAUGGCUUGGUAAGAGGAAAGAACACGUGCUAUAUUACCUUAUCAAUAAAGAACACCAGACAUGUUAUCCCUUUAUACUAACAAAGACUCACACAAGCGUACUAAAGAAGUUAAAAAAAAAAAAAAAAAAAGAAGUCAAUCACAAGCUUAUCACGAGGUCGACAUUUGCGUAAAAAAAGAAAUCGUAUUCAGGAAUUUGCUUUCAAUUAUUUAUUCACCUUGAGUAUAUCAUAAACGGGUUACUAACAUGAAAAGACACAUAAGCAGCUAAGAAUUUAAACAAGCUCCGAACUUAUCAAGGACCAAAGCAACUAGCUACAAUGACACUCAAAAACUCUCAGAAUGACAUUCUGAUUAUCAACAUAGUUCAUGCCUAAGUGUUUAAACAUUUUAGAUCCUUUUUCACGCUAAAUGAGAGGCAGCCAAUAGCCCGACCAGACACAGAUGUAACUACAUAAUUACUGUCACUUCAGUAUUUAAAUCGACAUCAUAUUAAAUAGCUCACUGUACUAAAACAAUUCGAACAUCAUGGAGGUUAUUUCGAGCUAAGAGAACACACAGAUGACAUAGUAAAUAAACUGGAUACGCUUUAGUUUCCAAGCCUUUUAGAGCCUUGAUCAUGCUAAAUUAAAGGCUGUCGAGACCUUGUAAACGAAUGGACAAGUAUAGAAAGAGCUAAAACAGCUACUGUGAUGUGCAAACACCCAAACCGACAUAACGAUUAUCCCAAAAUAGGUAACCAAUCACACUAAAAAAUACUUAAAAAUUCAUAGAAAUUAAUCAGUUAAAUUGCAAGUCGCAAACACACAUAAUCCCAAAAUAAUAAAAUGAUUUGUUUUACAUCUUUAUAUCCAAAACCAGUCGGCUAUCAUCCCAACUAACCACCGAUAAACAGUUAACAAAACUAAGUGUAACGUAAUUAAGACGGGAAAGGAUUUGCUCUUAUAGGUGUUCACAAAACCACUUCCGACCCGCAUCGAAACAUAAAAAAUGAAAGAAACAUAAAACUAGGAAUGACCAACACCUAUACACCUAUAGGUACAUAACCACAUAUUCUCACACAGAACAUCUUUUUGAAUCAAAAUUACAAUUUUAUCCACAAGACAAAAAACAGCAACAACAACACAAACUCGAAAUCAAGGUGUCCCAUGCUCGUAGAAUCAAAAUAGAUGAAGGGAAGGAAAAUAAAAUGAAAGAGGACAGAAUUCGCACCUUUUUCGGGGCAGCGAACCAGGGAGUUUCUCGUCGGAAAUUCGAACUCGAACUCGUGCUCGGACUUACCCUCGAACUUGAAAAUCGGACGGAAAAUAGCGAAAGUAAUAGUAUGAACUUGCUUAUGCUAAUUUAAUAACUUCUUUUAGUGAUUCUUCCUUGUUGCUUGCUUUUCUUGCUGCCCAAAAAAUGAGAGCCCAAAGGCUCUUUUAUAGCCAAAUUGAGGAGCUCAACGGCUAUCAAGUGAGGCUUCCAAGAAUUCAAAUUUUGAACUCUUGGGAAGCCCAAAUCACAGAGGCAAACAGGGAGAUGAAAUUGGAGAAGGAAAGGACAAAAAAUUUUCACCUUUUCAGGUUGAGAUGAAAGGGGUAAAGAGACGGUUCAAGAUGGAAGGCUUGAAACCAUCGGUAUUGAUGAAUAACAACCUCAAAUCCGAUGGUUCUUCAAUUCUUCCACCUCUCCCAGAAAUGGCAGAGAGCUUUGUAGCUCUGUUUUGAGAAGACAAAAGCUGUGAGAGUGAUGAGUGAAGUGACGGGGCGGACAAAACAGAGAAAGAGUGAAGUUGAAAGACUACAACCACCGGAACUCGCCAUUAUCCGGUGGUUAGAGAGUUAAUCGACGCUGCAGAGAAAAGAGAAGAAGACUAUAGAUGUUGUUCAAUAAUUGGAUCUUUGGGCCGGGUCUUGGUAUUUUAAGUUGCUGGGCGUAUUUUGUUGUUGGGCUUCAUAUUUUUGAGGUAUUGGGCUGGUAUUCUUGCUGAAAAACAAAGAGUAAAUGGCCCAAAGAUAUGUAAAGGUAG
rnacentral:lncRNA from 1 species